UACGGGGGGGGCAAGCGUUGUUCGGAAUUACUGGGCGUAAAGGGCUCGUAGGCGGCCAACUAAGUCAGACGUGAAAUCCCUCGGCUUAACCGGGGAACUGCGUCUGAUACUGGAUGGCUUGAGAUUGGGAGAGGGAUGCGGAAUUCCAGGUGUAGCGGUGAAAUGCGUAGAUAUCUGGAGGAACACCGGUGGCGAAGGCGGCUCUCUGGACCGAGACUGACGCUGAGGCGCGAAAGCGUGGGGAGCAAACAGG
rnacentral:rRNA from 1 species